AGUUUUGGAUAUGGCUGCCACAUCUGUCACCUCAUUGAUCGCCAGGGUUGAUUCAGCUGCUCUGGAGGGCUAGACGGGUGUCUCCUUCUUCCCUCGCUGCUCCAUAUGCAUCCCUUCUGAAGCUGCAUGCUCAGUGGAAGAGGAGGACCAUCCCCAACAGAGGAGGACUGGCCAAGGGUAGAGAGCAGCUGCGCUCCCUGCUAGAACCUCCAGACAAGCUCUCGAUAACAUCUUGUCUUAAAAAAAAGAUCUGUUAGGUGUGCUUCAGAACAAGUGGAUAAGUACAAUUGAGGAAUCCAUGUAUAAUUU
rnacentral:snRNA from 1 species